rnacentral:rRNA from 1 species
AGAGUUUGAUCCUGGCUCAGGACGAACGCUGGCGGCGUGCUUAACACAUGCAAGUCGAACGGAAAGGCCUCUUCGGAGGUACUCGAGUGGCGAACGGGUGAGUAACACGUGGGCAAUCUGCCCUGCACUUCGGGAUAAGCCUGGGAAACUGGGUCUAAUACCGGAUAGGACCUCAAGACGCAUGUCUUCUGGUGGAAAGCUUUUGCGGUGCGGGAUGGGCCCGCGGCCUAUCAGCUUGUUGGUGGGGUGACGGCCUACCAAGGCGACGACGGGUAGCCGGCCUGAGAGGGUGUCCGGCCACACUGGGACUGAGAUACGGCCCAGACUCCUACGGGAGGCAGCAGAAGGG